GGAGCCUCUGCAGAGCUUAUCUUUUGUUCUGAUGAAGUGGUCCUGAAAACACUGACAAGGUCUCUCGAAGAGCCGCGACGGUUAGUUCAGAGGUAAGACGAAGAUGGAGCACGAUGUCUUAGGAAAGGUGCUGGUUCGAGAUGCUACAAGUGAACUAAAAGAGCCAACAGCUUGGCAUAGGUAGAAAAAGCAAACUCAAAACGGAAACUCGGGGACUCUGAACGCGGAUCCUGAGGGGCCUGCCUGCACCGGCCCAACGCCUGCGUUAACCCUUUAGGCGCUGCAACAGGGAUCCCCGGAGUCUACAGGCCGACUAGCAGGAACAGAGGAGUGCUCGCUCGCCGAGUCCACCCGCCCACCUCCGGGGCUCUGGAGGGCCGCAGGCCUGGGGAUGGCUCGGGCGGGGCCCCAGGUGAAGGGCGCCCGAGUUCGUCUGAGGCAGUCAUCGCUCUCCAGCCUCCACAGUCGCGGGAGCAG